rnacentral:rRNA from 1 species
UACGGAGGGUCCAAGCGUUGUUCGGAAUUAUUGGGCGUAAAGCGGGUGUAGGCGGCCUUGCAAGUCAGAUGUGAAAGCCCUGGGCCCAACCCAGGAACUGCAUUUGAUACUGCAUCGCUAGAGUCCCGGAGAGGAUGGCGGAAUUCCAGGUGUAGAGGUGAAAUUCGUAGAUAUCUGGAGGAACACCAGUGGCGAAGGCGGCCAUCUGGACGGUGACUGACGCUCAGACCCGAAAGCGUGGGGAGCAAACAGGAUUAGAUACCCUCGUA